UACGAAGGGGGCUAGCGUUACUCGGAUUGACUGGGCGUAAAGGGCGCGUAGGCGGCUUGUACAGUCAGACGUGAAAUUCCUGGGCUCAACCUGGGGGCUGCGUUUGAUACGUGCGGGCUUGAGUUCGGAAGAGGGUCGUGGAAUUCCCAGUGUAGAGGUGAAAUUCGUAGAUAUUGGGAAGAACACCGGUGGCGAAGGCGGCGACCUGGUCCGAUACUGACGCUGCGGUGCGAAAGCGUGGGGAGCAAACAGG
rnacentral:rRNA from 1 species